rnacentral:sRNA from 1 species
GUAAUUGAUACUUUAGAUGACCGUUUUGUAACUUUAGAAGAGGCUAAUAAAAUAAGCAUGCUGAAGUUAGUAUGGCGUAUUCUGUCGGCACACGGUUCCUUAUGGGGAGAUUGGGUGAUAAAAUAUCUCAUUCGUGGUGGUUCUUUAUGGUCUGUCAAAGACAACACAACUCGUGGUUCAUGCAUUUGGCAUAAAAAUGGGUGGUCUACUUCCUUUUGAUUUGAUAUGUGGAGCCCUAUGGGAUGCCUAUACGAGAAGCUUGGGGAGAGAGGUUUUAUUUAGUUGGAAUAUCAAAAACCAGCACAGUAGGUGAGGUGAUGGACACACAUCGAAGGAAAAAACAUAGAUAAAUCUUGUAGAGGAGGAGGUGAGGAAACAAAAGCUUAUCAGGAGUCAAGACUCGGGUAUUAUGUUGUGGAAGGGAAGGAACGAUCGAUACAACAAGAAGUUCGGGACAAAGGAGACUUCACAGGUUCGGGUUGCUAAACCAACUAUAGAGGAGUACAAAGGGAUAUGGUUCCCUCACUCCACCCGGAAGUACUCUUUUAUCACUUGGCUAGCAACAAAGAAUAGAUUGGCAACAGGAGAUCGAACGCAAAAGUGGAAAAGAAACGCAAAUGUGAGUUGCGUGUUUUGCCAGUACCCGAAGGGGAACAUAGAACAUUUGUUUGUUUUUAUGCCUUACACAUUCAAGAUAUGGGAGGAACUCAUGAAAUGUCAAAUGAGUGCUUCUGGACAAGUUCUCGGCAGCUUGGAAAGAGGUUCUUAAGUUGACCACCGAUAAAGCUCAGGACUAUACUAAAGCGUUUAUCCUCCGGUACGUGUUUCAAAACACAAUUCAUUCCAUAUGGCGGAAAGGAACAACAUGAGACAUGCAUGGGAACAACCAUCACCUGCGGGAAAGCUUGUCAAGAUGAUUGACACAAAUAUUCGAAACCGGUUCAGCAUGUUUAAGAAUGGAGGCUUAUCGAAGUACGAAGGUGGCAUCGUACUUUGGUUUGAAACAAGAAAUCAAGGAUAGCUCAUUCUUUUCUUGUAUUUUAUAUGAAAAGUUUUGCAUUCAAAUGUAACAAACAGUGAUUUUUUCUUUGGAGUAUAAUUUAACGUUAAUUUUUUUUAAAAAA